ACGAACGCUGGCGGCGUGCUUAACACGUGCAAGUCGAACGGAAAGGCCCUGCUUUUGUGGGGUGCUCGAGUGGCGAACGGGUGAGUAACACGUGAGUAACCUGCCCUUGACUUUGGGAUAACUUCAGGAAACUGGGGCUAAUACCGGAUAGGAGCUCCUGCUGCAUGGUGGGGGUUGGAAAGUUUCGGCGGUUGGGGAUGGACUCGCGGCUUAUCAGCUUGUUGGUGGGGUAGUGGCUUACCAAGGCUUUGACGGGUAGCCGGCCUGAGAGGGUGACCGGCCACAUUGGGACUGAGAUACGGCCCAGACUCCUACGGGAGGCAGCAGUGGGGAAUAUUGCACAAUGGGCGGAAGCCUGAUGCAGCAACGCCGCGUGCGGGAUGACGGCCUUCGGGUUGUAAACUGCUUUCGCCUGUGACGAAGCGUGAGUGACGGUAAUGGGUAAAGAAGCACCGGCUAACUACGUG
rnacentral:rRNA from 1 species